rnacentral:lncRNA from 1 species
AUUGAUGCCACACUUGUUCUCUAAGGCUGCGUUUGGUUGGAGAACUAAAUUUUGGAGAACAACUUUUGUUGUUCCCGAGAACAGGGGAUAUUCCGGUACAAGAUAAAACAAUUGUAAAUUUGUGUUUGGAUGCAUUCGAGGAUAUUCUAGAGGAUAUCCUUAAUAGCGUUUGGAUAAAAAGUCUAGAACAACGUCUAAAUAUAUUUUUAAAAAUAAAAUAAUUAAUUUAUAUUAGUAUAUUUUAUAUAAAAUU